GAUUUUUUUUUGGUAAAAAAACAAAUGAGAAACUUUGUAAGAAGAAAGAAGGUUUUUUUUUUUCUUUCAAAAAUUUACAAUAUAACCUUAUUAAAUUACAAAUAAACAUAUUUGCCCCUAAAUUUUACCUAUGCUGCAGCUGAAUAUAUGCAGAGGGAAGCUUUCCCCAACAAUAAACUAUCGAUCGGGAGUGUGUAAUCAGAUUCGAUGAUGAUGAUGAUGGAGCAGAAUAAGCACGAGGAGGAGGUUUGUAGUGAUGAUAAUAAUAAAGUGCCUCCUUUAUUUUCAAAAUAUCCAUGGUUUGGUGUUCAGAACCUUGAAGAUCUUACUCACCAGUCUUUCUCCACCUUACACAACCCGUUGUUUAAUUCUCAGUGUCGAAUUCCCGAGUUGUUAGGGAAACGUAUACGAGGGUGUUUCCAUGGGUGGGUAAUUCUAUCUAACCAUCCACACAAUAAUACUUGGUCUCUGUGGAACUCUUCAUCCACUUCUAACAUCAUAUCUCUCCCUCCCUUACUUUUGAAAGACGGAGAUUAUGAUUCCAUCCGAGACGCUUGUUUGUCUGCCCCUCCUGACGAUCCAAAUUCAGUUAUCCUCUUAACAAGAACCAAUAAGCCUACCUUUGUAUUUUGUCAACUAUCUCCUAAAAAAAUAAAAAGCCGAAGAAACAAGCCAAGAUGGACCGAGAUGUCGUAUGCUUAUCAACUCAGUAGAGUAAGCUCGGAUGGACAUUUACUACAUAGCCUAGCUUGUUGCAAUGGUCAUGUAUAUGCUUUAUGUGACGACAGUACAUUUGUUCCGUUUCUCGUACGUGUUGAAAUUGCAGUCAAGGAUAGAGAAAUUGUGGUACGAAUAUUAUUACUUGCGGCUGUCCCUUUUCCUUCUUCCUUUCGUUGUCCCAAACACCUUCAUUUUCUGACAGGAUACCGUACAGAGUUGUUUUACAUAGUAGUUGGUUUUCGUAGUUUUCUAAGGGAAACAAUCAAAACACCCGGUGAUGUGUUUUUGUUUAAAGCUGACAUGACUAGUAUAAAAUGGAAGGUUUUGGAAAGCGUCAGAACCUGGGAAGACUUUGUAAGUGCUCCAAAACAAAUCUGGGAAGAAGUGAAAGACCUUAAAGAAGGCAUAUUUGUUGUGGAUCUUGCAAACGAUACCUCUGAAAUUUAUAACCCUGCAAUUGGUUCAGAGCUAGGGGGGUAUAUACAUAUCCAUGACAAAAUGGACAAACUAAUAUAUUCGUAUCACCUCAACAGUAAAACUUUCGUUCAAUCUCCCAUGCCCUUUCCGGUGCUGCCAACAAGCCACAUGUCAAUGUGGGAAUGCUCGGAUUGCUUCUUUUUUCUAUUAUUUCUAUCCGUUUAUGUGUUAACACAAAUAUAUAAAUCUCUGUGUGUGUGUUUUGGAAUAAUGUUUCUUAAAUUCAUAUUGUGUAGGUUAGAAGAUGACGAUAGAGAAGCCAAAUUCACGGUUGAUUCUAAACAACAAGAGGAUGAGAUGACGAUUAGCUUUAUCACAGACAAUGAGGUUGAAGUUAGUGAGUCUCCCUUGCUAGAUGUUCCAUUUGAUGUUCUGGAGAUGCUUAUGAAAGUUUGUGUUGGCGUGGAAUACAUGAACUUUCGUGCUACAUGCAAAUGUUGUCAUCAAGCAGUACCUCUCAUACAAUGGCGCGACCAAACAGCAUUACAGAAUUAUUCCCUAGCUUCACCUUGGCUGAUGGUUGUAGACCAAACUCGAGGUGUUAUUACUUUCACAGAUCCGCUCUGUUGGGUGACAACUACUUUACUAGAAUUUCAGAAUUUUCGAUUGCUGAGGAAACAAUAUACUGUUCCAGGUUUGGUUGGUUGUUGCUUAAAAUUAGUGAUUAUUGUUCAGUGUUUUUUAACCCCUUCACAAAGGAUCUCCGUGAACUUCCACGAACGAAUUACAUGGACCACCAGUUCUGGUUCUCAGCUCCACCUACUUCCCCUGAUUGUAUGGUUGUUGGAUUUAUUUGUGGAACGCUUGAGAUUCAUUAUGUAUCCGGAGAACCAAUUUGGGAAACCUAUGAGGUAACUUCACGUUAUGAAGGCUCCACCAUGUGUUUUCCAACAUAUCAUGACGGCGAUCUUUAUUACUUGUAUGAGAGGGAACUAAGGGUUUACAAACAUUUGGGUGAAAAUAAUAUCUCUUUUGAAGUUUUAAUAAUCGAAGCCCCAAGAAGUUGUUGCGGAUCUGAGGCACAAUGUUUUUUGGUGAAAUGUGACCAAAAUCUUUUACUUGUCGUGAUGGGCGGGGUUGGUGAACCCAUUGAGGUAUUCAAGUUGAAUGAUUCUAGAAGAGAAUGGGAUAAAGUAAAUGGUGUAGGAAAGCACAUGAUUUAUAUCUGUGAUACAACAUGUAUCUGCAUUGAAGCUAAAUUUCCAGAAAUGGAGAACAAGAUCUACUUGGCCCAAUCGAGUUCUAGAAACAAGAAGAUAGUGUUUUAUUCACUUGAAACAAGCACGUUUCACACGUUUGAUGGUAAAAACAUCCAAGAGGAUUUAGGGGAUGUUUUUAUGACUACGUAUCUUUCCGCUCAUACUUGGAUUGAACCAAGUUGGUUGAAUUGAAGAGCCCGUGAGUCUAGACCAGUGGAGAAGAGGAGGGGUUUUAGGUGGAUGAUAAGACAGUGUAGAGUGGCGGGUGGUGGUGGUUGUCGAUGUUAAACCGCAGGGUUAGAGAGUUUUGGAAGGGGAGAAAGGGAGUGUUUGAGUUCUGGGAUGGCGGCUUAACAACAGUUAUUUUAGUUGAAAUAUUUUCCAGUGUUAUUGUUUGCAAAAUUGUCUUAAGAAAUGUGAACAGUUCUGUUGAUUCCAAACAUGUGUUUCCAGAUUGCUCAUUGUUUAAAGAUUUUGUAUGUAAUUUCGUAUUUUAUGUGGUUUUAUUUAUGAGUUAUAAUAUUUAAAUUA